rnacentral:lncRNA from 1 species
GGACUAACAAAGUUCAUCCUUAUCCCACGAACCCUACGAAUAAAGUUUUAUAAUAUACAAAAAACUCAUCAAACAACCAUAUAAAGGAAUGUAAUAAGAAAAAAGUCAUUCCCGUACGACUUUUAAUUAAAUGUUAGUAUUCUAAUCUCUAUUACAGUAUCUAAAUUAGACUCAAUUUUAGAAAAAAGUAAAUUACUAUUUCA